rnacentral:rRNA from 1 species
UGGGAAUUUGGACAAUGGGGCAACCUGAUCCAGCAAUGCCGCGUGUGUGAAGAAGGCCUUCGGGUUGUAAAGCACUUUUGUCCGGAAAGAAAACGUCGUGGUUAAUACCCGUGGCGGCUGACGGUACCGGAAGAAUAAGCACCGGCUAACUACGUGCCAGCAGCCGCGGUAAUACGUAGGGUGCAAGCGUUAAUCGGAAUUACUGGGCGUAAAGCGUGCGCAGGCGGUCCGCUAAGACAGAUGUGAAAUCCCCGGGCUUAACCUGGGAACUGCAUUUGUGACUGGCGGGCUAGAGUAUGGCAGAGGGGGGUAGGAAUUCCACGUGUAGCAGUGAAAUGCGUAGAGAUGUGGAGGAAUACCGAUGGCGAAGGCAGCCCCCUGGGCCAAUACUGACGC